rnacentral:lncRNA from 1 species
UCAAGCAAAAUUCGAAGAAGAUUUAGGUAGCUUUCGACCUAUAAUCCCGCCCAUGAACACGGUUACAGACAUACAAUCCUAGGGAAACAUUAUCUGUCCAUUUACUCAUGCUUCAGGUUCAAGGAUUUACAGUAAAAGACAUCGUACCAUCCUAUAAUGCAAGCCACACGCAAAUGAAGUAUAUUAAGGACUAACAUAACAAAACUCAACAACAGGUCGCUAUUUACAAGCUAUUAGAUGUGUGACAGUGGACUUAACACUACAGAAACAUGAAUAAACCUUUAAGAAUGAGAAAUAGAUUCAAAGUUCCCACCUACUUUGCCGAAAACCAAUAACUAACACCAAAAGAAGUCAAGAUGGUCACGACAACAUGAACAGAUCGAUAUCAUGACACGGGAACGGCAAGGAACACACUUUGAAAUUCAGAUCAAAGAAAGAAACAAACUAUGAAGCGAAGAGAUUUCAAGUAUAAAUAUCCUACUAAAGCACGUAUCACAUCCUAACGAGAAGAACAUACAUCCGCAUGACAUCAAUGACUGACUAUUGAACACCAGUAACAGACCAAAUACGAAAGGAAACAUAUAAAAAAACAUAAGAAGAAACGAGACAAUACACACCAGAUUGCUAUGCUAAGAACACCAUUCAGAAAUAGAAGAAGAAACGAGACAAUAUACACCAGAUUACUAUACCAAGAACAUCAUUCAGAUAUAGAAGAAGAAAUGAGACAAAUACACUAGAUUGCUAUACCAAGAACAUCAUUCAGAAAUAGAAGAAGAAACGAGACAAAUACACCAGAUUGUUAUACCAAGAACAUCAUUUAGAAAUAGAAGAAGAAACGAGACAAAUACCUUCUCCGAGCAGCGAACGUAACAGGAACAAGAAGCGACAACCACGAACUUCCACACUCGAACAAUACCCCUCGCUUCUUAACGUAUUCUGCUUUCGUAGCUAGACUAUCCUGUUAGCGAGCAGCGACACUCCUGAUUUCUUAUCAGCUUCCUCAGUUUUAUCUCUAGGGCUAUCGCGUUUUGGAGAACCCUUUUUACACAGAUUGAAACUCCUCUCAAACAACUGAAUGAAAGAUGAAUGGUAGAAAUUCUUGUGAUAAAAUGUGAACCCCGAAACUUCCAAAAUAAAAACAAGCAGAAGGCAAAACAAUUUCCUCUCCCAAAAAUCUCUUUAUCAAAAUUCCAAACAAAUUUUUUCUAACCAUAUUUUCUAACCCCAAAUUCAGUCUAGGGUGGGGGUUUAUAUAGGAAGACGAUUUAGGGUUUCGAAAUUGAGAUGGAUUGCAAGAGUUUCGGCCCAUUUGAAUUCAAAAUCCUCAAAUCUUAUCCGAAAUGAUUCGAGCGGGAAGGGAGUUUGAGGCGAGGUGGAGGGUCAGGAUGCGUUCGUUGUCCUUGCGUGCUUCGUGUCAUCAUCUCGUUGUCGCAAGGACGAGCAGUACGACCUACUACGCAGUAGCUGAAGGCAUACUGCUGCCAAAGAGACGUUGCCAAGGCUGUACGCCUGUUUUCGCGUGGAGAAGGGGUCGCGUGAGGGAGACGCGGGAGAGAGGGAGAGAACGUGAGGGAGACGCAAGAGGGAGAGACGCAUCUGGGGGAGUUUCCGUUGGGGGAAUCUAUUUCUGCUGCGUCUUUUUUUUUGGGUUUCGUUUUCCUGUUCUGGUAAUCGCUGGGGGAAGAAGGAAGGGGGAGGCGGGUUCGGAUCGGGUAAAAGGUUUGGUUCAUUGGGUUUGAAUUGGUUUGGGUUGAGGGAAGGAAGUGGGCCGGUAUUUUAAGUUAGUGGGUUGGGUAGGGAAAUUGGAUGGUUGUCUAAAAUGGAGUGGGUUGUUAAAGAAAAUGUUUGGGCCUGAAAGGUAAAGGAAUGGGCUGGGUACAAAAUGGGUGUCAACAACUGUCCCUCAUUUUUCUUGGGUUGAUGCAAGCAACUCAAGGAAAAUGAAAUUGACCGAACCAAUUUUGACCAGCCCCAUUCAUUUUCUAAAGAAAGAAUUUAAUAAAAAGUUUAGGAAUUAUGGCCGAACCCUUGAAAACGAGUCUCCUACAUAUCUCAGACUAUAUGAGAAUUCAGGCCACUUGUAGUUCGAUAAGCUUGAUUUACCGCAUAUUUUGAAAGAAUCAAAAGCCACUUCGAUACAGCCGAGCUUUCAACAUUGAAUCCGCCUACAUAUCCGUAAAUCGUCGGGAUCAGGCUGUGUGUAGUUCGACUCAAUUGGUGGAGAAGGAAACCUAUUAUGCUAGAUAACCUUCGGUUUUGGAUAAGCGACAAGUUAAACGAGCAUGAAAAGGAGGCUUGUAACCUCUUAGCCAUGAAUGUGGAGCUCUUCACAUCCAUAGGUAAGAACUUACACGGACAUAAUUUCCAAAGCUCUUGGCGAGUUGUCACUCAGAUUGGAAACUUGCAUCCGAUAGAUCGAAACUUUCGGAUGCGAGACUGAAACUGACAGAACUAGAGAAAAACCCGUAUGCCUCGAGAGGAUGGUUCGAUUGUGGUGGAAGUCGCUCCUCUGCUCGCGUCCUAAGAGUGUGAUAUUCCUCUUUGUACUGUGUCCCAGUUCGCUGCUAAGAAAAAGUUCCACCUUGUGCUGCAUCCUUUUUUAUGUAGUCCGCACCUGUGGUUUUGGAGAAUUCAUCCUUUUGGAUGCUCUCGAUAAAGACUGAGAUAAAACUCGUCAGCUUAAAAAUUCAAUUUGGAUGGGAGACAGUGUCUUUUUACCGUGUCGACACUUUAUUGUUCUCCUCAAAUCGACACCAACUCGAUCGGUCUGGCGUCCAGCAAAUAAAGCUUAUGCCUUGUGUUUUGCAAUAUCAUUUUCAAUGUGUUCCAUACUUGAUGUCGAAAUAAAUAAAUGCUGAUGCGAUAUUGAUGUUCCUUUUGUUGUCAUCUUCGAUGCUCUCCUUGAUGUUUACUUUUAUAAGAAAUAAUAGAAUGCAGCGAGGCCAAUGGAUAAGUAUUGCUCUUUCUUUAUCCAUGUACGUCCUCUUACGGGGCAUGAAUAUCUUCCCGCGAUACGUAAAUUCUUGCGAGGUAUAAAAUCUUCUCGCAAUGUAUAAAUUUUUAUUAGGCAUGAAAUCUUCUCGUCGUGCAUAAUUAAUGACUCACGAUGCAUGAUUUCCGCGAUGCAUGAUUUCCGCGAUGCAUGAUUUUCGCUAUGCAUGAAUUUCAGCGAAGCGUAAAUUCUUCUCGCGAUGUAUAAAUUUGGACGAGGCAUGAAAUCUUCUCGGCGUACAUGAUUGUCAGCGAGGCAUAAAGUCUUCUCGCGAUGCAUAAAUUUUAACGAGGCAUUAAAUCUUUUCAUCGUGCAUAAUUAAUGACUCGCGAUGCAUGAUUUCCGCGAUGCAUGAUUUUCGCUAUGCAUGAAUUCCAGCGAGGCAUAAAUUCUUCUCGCGAUGUAUAAAUUUGACGAGGCAUGAAAUCUUCUCGCCGUACAUAAUUGUCAGCGAGGCAUGAAUUCUUCUCGCGAUGCAUAAAUUUUGACUCGCAAUGCAUGAUUUUCGCGAUGCAUGAUUUUUGCUAUGCAUGAAUUCCAGCGAGGCAUAAAUUCUUCUCGUGAUGUAUAAAUUUUGACGAGGCAUGAAAUCUUCUCGUUGUGCAUAAUUAAUGACUCGUGAUGCAUGAUUUCCGGAAUGCAUGAUUCUUCAGCAGUAUAUGACUUCCGCUGAUGCAUGAUUCCGCGAUGCAUGAUUCCGCUAUGCAUGAUUCCGCGAUGCAUGAUUCUUCAGUGUACAAAUUCCGCGAUGCAUGAAUAUUUAUAUCGCCCCCGUGGAUAGUAACGGCAAGACGAUCUCCAAAUAAUAUCGACUUGAUCGAUAAUGAUAAAAUAAUAAUUACACAACUGUCUCUUCUGAGGUAAUGCAUUGUCUUGAUCGACAAUAAUCAUCUUGCUUUGAUAACGCAAUGCAAAUAGCGUCUUCUAUAGCAAACGUGAAAUUUCGUUGAGAUUCCUGUUUGAUUCACCUUUGAAUCUGGCUGGAUACUUUGUAAAUUUCCCACUGUUGAGAAUGGUUUAAAAUAAACAAACACAUUCACAAGCAUCUUCACAAAAACUAUAUGAAUUGCCUCCUGCUUUCAGUAAGAUCACCGAUUUUGGAGAUAGUUUUCUCCUCUUCAGGAGCUCUCCGUAUUCAUCCGUCGGGAUAAUUCGACCGACUUCAAAGCAAAACUAUAAACCUACAUCCACAGAAAAAUUGUCAAUUUUAAACAUACUGAUCUGUGUUGAUCCCUUCGAUUGUUUGCUCCUUGUCUUGAUAUCUCCGGUUGAUUUCCCGAUUUUCUGACUCUUGAUAGAUAAGAAAAUAUCUUAUGCCAAAAUAGAUGAAAUAUAGAAGGCAAAUUUUAAGAGAAACAAAAAAAAUUUAAGAUAUAGUAUCUUGAAAAAGUCACUGCCAAGUCAUGUCAUAUCAGGCUUAACGAGCUCCCUUCAGUCCGACAUCUGCUGAUAAGUUUCAGAGGCAUUUCAGAAUUGUAGGGAAGACCCCAUGACGAAAUUUUGAGUCCAUCCUCAAAAUUUCUGUCCCAGUUUACUAUCUUGUGCAUCUCUCUAAUGUAACCAAACAGAUCGCGGAAUUUUGAGAUCUUCUCAAAAAUUCUGUCCCAGUCACCAAUCUCGAAAUGCCUUUAGUUUGACUUGCUGAAGAGAAGGCUUCUUCUGAAGAAUUUUUUAGUCCCACUCAAAAAGUUUGUCCCCGUUCUACUGUAAAGGGGAGUAGAAAUCUUACGAGAGAUAUGACCGAGCCCUUGUGGCGCCUACAUAUCUCGUUGAGGUAGGAAUUAGGUCAAACGUAGUUCCCCUUAAAGUUUAACAAGAAUAAAAUUUACAAAGAAACCGACCGAGGCCGACAAAGGACGCCUACGUAUCUCAUUCUUGAGAAUUCAGGUCGAACGUAGUUCAAAUACAAAGAAAUAAUAAAGGGGGUAAAUGGGGUGACCGAAGCCGACAUAGGCCGCCUACGUAUCUCGUUCUCAAGAAUUCAGGUCAGACGUAGUUCGUUACAGGAGGGAUAGGAAUUCAAAUUGAACAAAUACAAGCAAACAGAACGAUUACAAGUAAAUAACAGAAAAUGCGAAAAUGGAACUUCACGUGUAGUAUCUCUUGACAGCAUCUGAGUUGAUAGGCUUGGGCCAUACAGCACCAUCCAUCUCUGAAAGGACCAAAGCACCUCCAGAUAGUACUUUACGAACCAUGUAGGGACCUUGCCAGUUUGGCGCAAACUUUCCUUUGUACUCGUCUUGAUGAGGAAAAAUUCGCUUGAGAACCAACUGACCCACUUCAAAAUUUCUGGCUCUUACUCUUUUGUGAAAAGCGCGAGUCAUUCUUUGUCUAUACAACUGGCCAUGGCAGAUGGCGACCAUUCUCUUCUCAUCAAUCAAAGCUAGUUGGUCAAUCCGUUUGCUAACCCACUCCGCGUUGCUUAACUCAGCUUCUUGGAUGAUCCUCAAUGACGGUAUCUCGACUUCAACAGGUACGACUGCUUCUGUUCCAUAUACUAGCAGGUAUGGAGUAGCCCCAGUCGAUGUUCUAACCAUUGUUCGAUAACCUAGUAGAGCAUAUGGCAGCAUUUCAUGCCAACCUUGCUGUUUGUCAAUCAUCUUCCUCAAAAUCUUCUUGAUAUUCUUGUUGGCGGCCUCUACGGCUCCGUUCAUUUGAGGGCGAUAAGCAGUGGACCUCCGGUGAAUAAUCUUGAAUUGUUCACAUAUCUCUUUCAUCAGAUGACUGUUGAGAUUGGCACCGUUAUCAGUAAUGAUGGAUUCUGGAACUCCAAAUAUGCAUAUCAGAUUGUUGCGGACAAAAUCGGCUACCACUUUCUUGGUUACCGACUUGUAAGAGGCUGCUUCCACCCACUUGGUGAAAUAAUCAAUGGCAACCAAAAUGAAUCUGUGCCCAUUGGAAGCGGCUGGCUCUAUAGGACCAAUGACAUCCAUUCCCCAAGCUACAAAUGGCCAAGGUGAACUCAUAGCAUUAAGUUCGUGAGGCGGCACCCGUAUCAAAUCGCCGUGCACUUGACAUUUGUGGCAUUUUUGCACGAAUUUGCAAUAGUCGUUCUCCAUAGUCAUCCAGAAAUAACCGGCUCGGAGGGCCUUUCUUGCCAAGGUAAGCCCAUUCAUAUGUGUACCACAAACUCCAGCAUGUAUCUGUUCAAUAAGCCUCACAGCUUCAGCAACAUCUACACAUCUUAAAAGAUCCAGAUCUGGAGUCCUCCUAUACAGGACUUCUCCAUUCAGAAAGAAAUUGAGAGCCAUACGACGUAUCGAUUUCUUUUGAUUAGAUGUAGCGUCUUCUGGAUAUGCCCCAGACUCCAAGUAUCUCUUUAUGUCAAAAUAUCAAGGCAAACCAUCUGGUUAUGAUUCAACAUGUGAACAAUGGACUGGAUGUUCCUUCAAGUCUAUAUCCAACGGGUCGAUGUAAUCAGUAUCCGGAUGUUUGAUCAUUGAAGCGAUGGUGGCAAGAGCGUCAGCUAAUUCAUUCUGUAUUCUGGGAGUAUGUCUGAACUCGAUCUUGCGAAACCUUUUACACAGAUUUUGCACAUAUUGUACGUAAGGUACAAUCUUCGGGUUCUUCACAACCCAUUCUCCUUGAACUUGAUGAAUCAAGAGGUCUGAAUCUCCAAUAACCAGUAACUCGUAAACAUUCAUGUCAACGGCCAUUUUCAAAUCGAGAAUGCAAGCUUCGUACUCAGCCAUGUUGUUUGUGCAGUUGAAUCGUAGCUUAGCCGCCAUAGGAUAGUGCUGACCAGAUUCUGACACCAAGACUGCUCCAAUACCUUUACCCUGGUGGUUUGCCUCUCCAUCAAAGAAUAAUCUCCAACCUGGAUAAGCUUCAGAGAUAUCUUCACCCACAAAUGACACUUCUUCAUCGUGAAAAUAUGUCUUGAGAGGUUCAUACUCUUCGUCAACGGGAUUUUCCGCAAGAUGAUCGGCCAAAGCUUGUGCCUUUAUUGCUUUCUGAGUCACAUACAUGAUAUCAAACUCACUUAACAGCAUUUGCCAUUUAGCUAACUUCCCCGUCGGCAUCGCUUUCUGGAAAAUGUACAUCAAUGGAUCCAUUCUGGAAAUGAGAUAUGUGGUGUAUGAAGACAAGUAGUGUCUCAGCUUCUGGGAAAGCCACGUCAGAGCACAGCAUGUUCUCAUCAGCAAAGUGUAGCGAGACUCGUACGGAGUAAAUUUCUUGCUGAUGUAGUAGAUAGACCUUUCCUUCUUCCCUGUCUCGUCGUGUUGACCCAGUACACAUGAAAAUGCACUAUCUGAAACCGAUAGAUACAGUAGCAAAGGACUCCCUUCUCGUGGAGGAACCAAUACUGGUGGAUUAGACAAGUAGCUCUUGAUAGCGUCGAAAGCGGUCUGGCACUCCUCAGUCCACUUAGUUGGGGCGUCUUUCUUCAGCAACCUGAAAAUGGGCUCACAUACCACUGUUGAUUGUGCUAUAAACCAGCUGAUACAGUUUAACCUCCCCAAGAAACUCAUCACUUCUUUUCUCGUCUUCGGCGGAGGUAACUCUUGAAUUGCUUUAAUCUUGGAAGGGUCGAGCUCAAUACCUCUUCUUCUGACUAUAAACCCCAACAACUUCCCAGAUGGGACUCCAAAAGCACAUUUGGCGGGAUUUAGCUUCAAGUUAUACCGACGUAAACGUUCAAAGAAUUUCCUCAGGUGUGUCAAAUGAUCCGAAUUCUCACGGGAUUUGAUUAUGACGUCGUCCACGUAGACUUCAAUUUCCUUGUGGAUCAUGUCAUGAAAGAUAGUCGUCAUGGCUCUCAUGUAAGUAGCACCGGCGUUCUUGAGGCCGAACGGCAUUACCCUGUAGUCAUAUACCCCUUCAAGGUGUGAUGAAGGCCGUUUUUUCCGCGUCUUCUUCAUCCAUCAAAAUUUGGUGAUAACCCGCGUAACAAUCCACAAAUGAUUGCAUCUCGUGUUUGGCACAGUUGUCAAUCAGGAUAUGGAUAUUUGGCAACGGAAAAUUAUCCUUUGGACUAGCCUUGUUGAGAUCUCUGUAGUCGACACAAAUCCUGAUUUUUCAUCCUUCUUGGCGACCGGAGCGACAUUGGCCAACCAGGUUGGGUAUUGCGUUACUUCCACCAAUCGGGAUUCUUUCUGCUUGGUGAUUUCCUCCUUAAUCUUCAAACUCAAUUCAGGCUUGAAUUUCUGAGUCUUUUGUUUCACCGGUUCGAACCCUGGGUUGAUAGGCAGCUUAUGAGAUACGACAUCGGUACUCAACCCUUGCAUGUCAACGACUUCCCAAACGAACAUAUCCCUGUAUUCGACAAGCAGACAAACCAGGCUCUCCUUCUGAGUCUCAUUCAGGUGGGUGCUGAUCUUAACCUCUUUGACACAUUUUGAAUCUCCCAAAUUCACCGUUUCCGUCUCCUCCAGAUUCGGUUUUAUGUAGAUUCUCGAACUGUCGAAAUUCUUCUGCAACAUAGUCUGGUUCCCCACUUUCUUCGUAGUCGUCAACCUCAUCGUCAUUUGCCUUAUUUUGCUCGUUUAGCUCAUGACAUGAUAUGACAUUGGCAGGUUUGUAACUUACGUUACUGAAAUCAUAAACAGACAGAAUUAAAAAAGUAAAAUAUAACAAGCAAUUUAAUAAACAAAGUCAAAAUAAGGAGGCUUUCAUUUAAAUCAAGCAAAAUGCGAACUUGGGUCAUGGCGCAGGGCCAUGUCGCUUUUUCAAACAUCACAACAAAAUUCAAAAUCAAGAACAAUGCAGAAAUGAUGGGUCUCAGGCCUCUUCCGGACGACCACCAAUUUUACUAUGCAUGAAAUAAUUCCUUUCUACCCAAGAGUCCGGGACAUCAGGAUUGGCGUAGAGGUCCAAUUCUGCAGCAUCUCCCCUGGUUCCGCAUCGCGAAUGCCAGCUGGGUUGACCUCCUCCUCGAUAAUGGCGUUAAUCUCCUUGAAAAGGUCACAGAUUCCUUCCCCAUCGUCUUCAGGCUCGGCAUGCUCCCGGACUGGAAAGGAUUGAUAGAGAUGCGGGAUCGGCUUAGUCAACCCUUGAUCCUUUUUCCUCUUCAUCUUCACAUCAUCAUCUGUGGGGAUGUACCCCAAACCAUAAUUUGAUCCUGUAGCAAGGACCAGAACUGGCUCGAUGAUCCCUAGUGCAUUCCUUCCUAAUCCAAAACCUGGUUCGAAUCCGCUUUGCACCAUCACCGUGGCGAUCAUUUUGUACACGGCCGGCAUGGGAGUCUGUGGGGAAAAGCCCUCAUCGGUGGCAUUUACCAACUCCACCGUGUAAAAAUUCGAGCUUUGCGGCGUCUCGUCCAAGACCGGCAUCUGCUUGCCUGAGUGGCCCUUUUCGCCCUGAAUAACCAGCUCUUCAUUUUUCCACACCAGUUUCAUCGUUUGGUGGAGAGUGGAGGGGACGGCUCCAGCCAUGUGAAUGAAUGGCCUACCCAAAAGGAGGUUAUAGCUGGUGUCGAUAUCCAACACCUGGAACUUUGCCUCAAACUCCGCGGGGCCUAUUUGGAUGGUCAAAUUCACCGCUCCUAACGUCUCUCUCUGCACACCAUCGAAUGCUCUCACAUUGACCUGGUUUUGCUCCAACUUUCCGAGGUCAAACCUCAGCUGCUUCAGUGUGGACAAGGGGCAUAUGUUCAGGCCAGAUCCGUCGUCUACCAAAACCCGGUUGACGAUCUUUCCGCGACAUACCACGGUGAUGUGCAGAGCUUUGUUGUGGGCCCUCCCUUCGGCCGGCAAUUCAUCAUCGCAGAAGGUGAUGCGAUGUCCCUGAAUGACUCGGUGAAUCAUAGCAGCUACAUUGUCGCUGCUCGUACCUGAGGGCACAUAUGUGUCAUCCAAGGCUUUCAUCAAAGCCUGUCUGUGUGUACAGGAGCUCAUAAAUAGGGCCCACACGGAAAUAUGGGCUGGAGUCUUCUCCAAGUGCUUGACAAUGGAGUAGUCUUUGGGCUGCAUUCUCCUCCAGAACUCCUCAGCUUCUGCUUCGCUGAUCGGUCUCUUGGCAUGAUCCUUCUUUUGUCCUCCGAGAGCAAGCUCGUCAGGAGUGUAACAUCUGCCAGAUCUGGUCAUGCCUUUAGCCAUGGCCGUUUCUAUAACAAACUUGGGCUUGGCGAGAGUCUUUGCAGGCACCAAGGCAACAGCCUUUGCAGGUGUCAGAAUGACAAACUCUUCCUUUUCCCUGACGCUCAAAGAAGCGACAGCCUUUUCCAAGUCUUCCUGAACAACAAGAGUAAUUCUCUUGGCUUCACGCUCAUCUUCAUCAGUUUCUAUCAUGUUGAUGUUUCCACCCUCAUGAUUUGGCAACGGAUUUGUGUUGACGUUUGGCGCCGCAGGCUGAAGGGAGACCACUUCCUGGUCAAUCAAGUCCUGGAUCUUGUGCUUCAGAUUGAUACAGUCUUCUGUAUCAUGUCCAACACUGUUGGAAUGAUAAGCACAUCUCUGCUCCGGUCUGUAGAAUCUGGAAUUGACAUCCACGGGCUUGGGCCCCACAUGGUGGAUGUAUCCGGCCGCGGCUAAUCUUUCGAACAAUUUAGUUCUGCUUUCAGCCAACGCGGUGAACCUUCUGGAGGGCUUCUUCUCAAACCUGGGGCGAGGUGGAUCAUACCCGCCCUGUUGAGGGGGAGGGACUUGUUGGUAAUUGCGGGCGUUUGGUCGUGGAGCUUGGGUUCUGGGGUAGGGAUUUGUUUGGUAGUUUGGCAUUGGAGCUUGGUAAUUUGGAUGGGGGCUUUGAUAUGCUGGGGUUUGUAUUUGAUAUGCGGGGGACGGUGCUCGAGAACUUGGUUGUACAUUAGCGCAGCUGGGAGCGACAUUCUGGUAAUGGGGAGGGACUUGAUAAGCUUGGGGGUAGUUUGGAUAUAUGGAGGGAAAGUUUUUGGGAAUCGGGGGUGGAUUCUGAUACGACACAAUAUGGGCCUCUGGAUAAGUGGGGUCGGCAUUGUAGUAGCCGGAAUGAUUUGAGUGUGGACGGUAGUCUUGAUGAGGCUUUGAUGGAGGAUUGGAGCGGCCUUGGGGACGUGGUAACUUUCUGGGGGCCUUUCUUACCCCGUGUGAGACAGCGUUAACCUCCUCUCUUUUCUUCCUUACCAUUUCGAAAGACCCAGGCGAUGCAGACACUCGGGCUAUCUUUCCCGACUUCAGGCCAUCUUCGAUAGUCUCACCUACUUUGACUAUCUCGGCCAACUUGGCGCCGAUUAAUAAGAUGACUCUGUCAUAAUAAUCGGGCUCCUGCACCCGUAUGAACACCUCUACAAUCUCCUUUUCCGUCAUCGGAGGCCUCACCCUCGCUGCCUCCUUCCUCCAUCUGUAUGCGAACUCUCGAUAGCUUUCUGUGGGCUUCUACUUCAUCUUCUCCAAGGAGUACCGAUCAGGAACUAUCUCGACGUUAUAUGUGAAUCUGUCGAUGAAAUCCUUAGCCAGUGCACUCCAACUGGGCAACUGUCGAGUCUUAUGUGACGUGAACCACUCUAGGGCCUCACCGCACAGGCUCCGGCUGAAUAACCUCAUCAGCAAGGCUUCAUCUUUGCCAACUCCCACGAGUUGGUCACAGUACGCUCUGAGGUGUGCCAUGGGGUUGCCCACCCCUCCGAAGGUAUCAAACUUCGGGAUCUUGAACCCUUCAGGCAAGUUCAAGUCUGGGUGGAUGCAUAGUUCUGCGUAGCUUAACCCGGCGAUGUCUGGAGUACAUUGCAAUUCUCUCAUUGCCCUCUUGAUCUCCUCUUUUAUGUCUACCUUCGCUUCUUCCCUCGCCCUCCACUCUCUUUCUUGCUCCUCAUAAUGGUCCAACUCGGAGUCGUGCACCUCAUGCUCGGCCGGGACAGGGACUAGGAAAGUGGUUCUUUUGGGGAAGGGUGGAGCAAUGGAAGGGCUUGGGAUGUUCUGUGCGGUUUGAUAGUUUUGCAGAUAAUUUUGGGGAUUGGUAUUUUGGUUUAAGUGGGGAUGCGGUGUUUGGGAAUUGAGGGCGGUGGGAUUUUUGGAUUUGAUUUUGGGGUAGUGGGGUUGUUUGAGUAUUUUGGGGAUGUGGUGGCAUUUGUAGGGGAUUGUUUGGGAGUGGUGAGGGAGUUUGAUAGGAGACUGAGGCGUAUUGAGGGUUUUGGGUGGUCAUAUCUAUCCCGAACGGGUUGUGCACGGGUGUCGAUGGACGGUGCUGAGUAGGAUCCGAGUUGGACGAGGGGAAAUAUGUAGGAGGUCUUGCGUCGAGAAAGUUGGGGCCGAAUCCGGGCGGAGGAGUGUCUUGCCUCCAUUGCAUCUCUACCCUCAUGUCAGCUAUUUGCUGCAUCAGCUGCGCAAUAAGCUCAUUCUGUUCUGCCACGGUGGGCUGAGCCACCACGACAUUUGUGAGGCUCACUUGUUCAUUGUUGUCUCCCAUGUCUGUAUUUGCGUUUGGUCCGGGGAAGGAAUCUGUGGGACCUUUUGAUUUGGUGAAGUAGGGUUGAUCUGCCAGCUUUAUCGACACCGAUCAGUAAGAGGUACCUGAGAGGUAAAAACAACUCAAAGGCAAAUUUGUUAGUGCAUAUCCGGAGUAUAAAAUGCAUAAUAUCCCACAUAAAACAGAUAACAUACAAGUCGCUUUGUUUAAGGAUAUCUUAACCCACGAAUGAGGACGGAAACAUAUUUUGAACAAACUGGAAUUUGUUUGUUUUGACGUCAUCUCGAGAAAGCUGAAUCACGUUGAGCUAUGUUCUUCUUGCAGCUGCUUUUCAAUGUCCGUUGAUCUUAUCUUCGUAUCUCCGAAACACGGGGGAGAAUGAAAAUUUUCUGUAAUAGGGGAAGGCUGCCUACGUAUAUCACGGGGAGAAUUCAGGCCCAACGUAGUUCGAGAUUUUAGGAUGAAAAUUUUUUCAUUCACUCUUUCAUUGUGAUUACAAGGGAAUUGAAAAACAACAUUGAAAUUUCUAGAAGACAACAUUUGGCGAUUUCUUGUCUUGUGGUGGCGUCAUUCCUUUCCUUUCAGACAAUCGGAAAUGGAGGCUUGUAGACAAUUUCUUCUUCAUCAUCCUCCUCAAUUACUUCACGGCCGGGGCCACUAUUUCCUGCUCCCUGAUCACGGGCGAGGUAUUUGCCGCCCUUUGAGUUGCUGCGGGUCGCCAAUUCCUUGUCGAGCACCGCACUUCUGGCCAACAACACGGCAGUCUCGAUAUCUAUCUUCGCCUCUCUUGCCUUUCCUUCGUGUAUCUCCAAACGAAGCAAGUUCAACCUUUUCCUUAGGCUUUCGGUUUCCAUCAUGACUUCCUUCUUUCUUUUUAUCUGCGACGCCAGAUCUUCAUCCAAGGUCGUGACCGCAACUUUGUAGAUCGUCGUGGUCAUAUCUACCUUGAGCCCUUCCUCCUUAACCUUCUGAAUUUCUCGAGUGACUCGCUCGAUUUUUCUUCGCACUUCUUCCUCAGUGAGCUGUGUCUGGACGUUCUUGCCUUUGUCCAUAGCGGUGAUUCACCUUUCCUUAGACGAUAAAGCGGUAUUCAGGAUUUGUGGUAUGGACGACGGAUUUUUGGAUGAGGAACUUGAGACUUGGGAAUUUUGGUCGAACAUUUGUAAUGGUGGCUUCUGUAUACUCUUUAGAGUUUUGGGCUUGGAGUGAGCUUCCAAUAUUCUCAUUCAAAGCAACAUAACACAUAGGCAUUUGAAUACACAUAUAUCGCGUCCUAAUCAUGCAUGGGGACCCUUUUGUGCCAAGGGUAGGCCUAGCGCAUUCGAAUGAUGUACGUGUGAGUUUAAACCAAUUAAAAGAUUCCCCCCAAAAUAAUAUUUAAUAAUGAGCACAAUGUUCGCAAGAGAAAUAGACAAACCCACGCAGGGGCUAUUUUAGAAGGUGCAAUAACAUCAGGCCCACGCAGGGGCUAAAAUAAUGCAUAUACAGACAAAGAAAAACCCGCGCAGGGGCGAUAUCCCCAGCUUUGUCUUCCGGACUCUCGUAUCGCAUCCUCUCGAUUUUCUACUGGAUCCAGCUGUCGAACUCUUCAUACCCUUGCUUCAGUCUCUCGAUCUCUCGAGUUGCCCUCUCGAGUGCGUCUUGAUUCUCUACGAAUUUGGCAUAGACCUCAUUAGCCUCCUGUUUUAACUCUCGCAAUUCAGCCACUGCUUUGGCCUCCUUGUCCGUCACACUGCGAAAGCUACGUGGGAUCUGAAAGGAGAUAUUUUGUAUAUCUCUCUUCAACCAUGCUUUGUAACCUUCGUCGUAUCCAGCGUCGAAUCAGUCAGGAGCGAUAGUGUCUUUACCCAUACGCUUGGCGUUCUUCCAUUCUCUGAGCAUCUCUAUAGCGCCGUCUACCCUGUCGUCCCCAAUAUCGUAUACAUAAGCGCCAUAAUACGCUUCUCUAGGCACAGUCUGCCUUCUUCCAAACUGUCGCAAGACUCGGAAUGGCGCGUAAGGGCUAAUUUCUCGAAUGCCGGGUAGAGGGAGCACGGCACAUCUACAACCCUCCACGACAACUUCUUUGGAUAUGAAGACAUCGAGCAUCCAUUGGAGGUCCUCUUCUCUCAACUCGGAGAAAAUUUGGGCCCACUUCCCUCUCGUUCUCCGAUUAUUCAAGUUGGCCCAGAAUAGCAAGUCGUUCAGGUCUUUGAGAGUGUUCUCUUUGUCGAGAGUAUGCAAUUCUCGAGUUCCAGCACCCUUCGCCAAGUGGCUGAGAAUCCACCAUUGGAGGAGCAGAUUACAACCCUGGAAGUACCGAUGUCCCUCUUUUCACUUACCCAAAGCGCGAUAUAUGUCCGACAAUAUGACCGGGGCUACGGAGUAGUACUUUGUCAUUCCUUGAUUCUCGUACCCUUUGAACAGCGUCUGGACGAGUGUUAUGACUCUGGUGUCGAUGCUUAGGCUCGGGCCAUGCGGGAAGACCAUUGUUCCCAACAAGGCUAUGGCAAACGCCAACGUGCGGAGCUCGUUCCACUCCCUGUAGGAAAUUCUAAAUUCCCGAUUAUACGCGGCAUAAAAACUCGCGUGUCCAAAUCUGACGUACAAGUCCCUGAACAUUAUGUGGGAGUCUUGACACCAAUAGGUGAAAUCCUUUCUUAGCCCUAACCACUCCGAGAUGUUCUCAACGGAAGGUUUGUUGGAUAUAAACACGUCCUCUUGUUUUCGGGCUCUUCUUUCUAGGCCCGUGCCCACGGUGUCUAUGCAAUCUCUUAUUUCGGCCGUCCCAGUACCAAAUCUGACGUACAAGUCCCUGAACAUUAUGUGGGAGUCUUAACACCAGUAGGGGUGAUUUCGGUCGUUCCGAAACGAAAGACCAUUCUUUGGCUGUCCCAGUACCCUUUAAGAACCUCGAUCAAUUCUGGCCAAUUAUCCAUGUUGAUUAGCUCGGUCAAGGCCCCUAUAUAUUUGUUGAGAGUUCGCUUAUGAUCUCCGUCUAAGUCGUUGUGCCACAUAGUAAGUUGGGGUGGCGCGGAGAUGACCAUGUUGAAUUUCGGGAAGCGGUCCAUAUCUGCAAAACAGAAACCCAUUAGACUUUCCCCUACCCCCAAGUUGGUUUUUCACACAUACAUUUCGAAUGUCACAUAAUAUGAUGCGUCGUGAGGCCGAAGACCUUAGACGCGAUUCUUUGACGGUUUUCUACUAAAAUGGAUUUAAUACGCCUUGGGUAUUAAGUCGUCCUAGGCUGAUGCCUAAUUUCGGCUUUGGUUUCGCUCUAACUUAGGCUUUUCUAGAAUUGUUUUCAAAUAGACGGUUACCCGAGUCGGACAAACAUCGGGGUGGAUAUAUCGAAUAACGCCGGAUGACCGCAUUCCAACUAUUUAUUCGAUACUCCCAAAUAAGUUCUUUGGGGUAUUUCUGAGAGAAGUCGCGGUAAGCCGCGUAACUUCCGUUUCCUAAUGCAACUAGUUGCCAUUUGGCAGAAUUUAUGCCAUGAGAAAAUGCAAUUUUCAAAACUAAGUAAUCUAAGCAAUUAAACAAUUAAUUACAAGUUAGUCAAAUAGAGUUAGUCUUAGGGUUAGAAUCCUCCGUCCCCCAGUGGAGUCGUCAUUUCUGUUUAUCGAAAAAAUUGAUUUCGAAAAGAGUUUGUUUUAUUUUUAGAGUACUUUCGACUUUUAGGAGUCGCCACUUAAUUUUUUAAGGAAAAUCAAGAGAACUCAUUCUCAAAACAAUUUAAACAGAAAAAAAUCGUUUUGAAAAUAUUAAGGGGUUCAGAAUUCCUAUUAGUGUCUUAGGAAGGUGUAAGGCACCUAAGACACUCCUUUAAACACAAUUUUCCGGCGAUUAACAAUAUUUGACUAUUUUGUUUUAAUUUUUACAAGUCGAAGUUUAAACUUUAUCAGAAUCUACUUAACCAAACUUUGCAACUUUUGAAAUAUUUAUCUUGCAAAUUUUCCUUAAAGUUAAAGCUCUCUAAACUCAAACGAACUUGUGAAAUAUUAGCUUCAAGAUUUCGCUAAAGUUGAUCUUUUUAAACUUUUACUCUAAGUAAUUUUUCAAACUUAACAUCUAUUUUUUUUAACACUUAAAUUUUAGUUUUAAUCUUGAUAAAAGUAAAGAGGCAUUUCGACGGGGUUGGAGUUUUCUAACCUAAAACUAACGGCAAAUCUUAAACAAAUGCACAAAAACAAGUUAUAAAGAGAGAGAGAGAGAGAUUUGGGUCCAAGCUCGGGUUCUGUUCGCCUUGACCGAGUUUGGACCCACCUGUUUUCGGGUAUUUGACCCGUUUUGUACCUGUCCUAAUCUAAACAUACAAAAUAAAAUAAGGAAAUAAAAACGACAAGAGGGCUUAUGCCCUUUAACAAAAUAACAAAAAAUACAAAAAAGAAAGAGGAAGUCUUCUAAUCCAUUUCGGAUUUUCUUCAAUCUUCAAGGAAUUGGUAUUGGCGUAUGAAUGCGUCGACAGGUUGACUUCAAGGACAGGAAUAUGUGAGUCUUUACGACUCUCUCGAAAUGCAAGAGAGGAGAGUUCAUGGUGAACUCAAGUGGAUUUACAUGCCACAAAGCAAAUAAAAAAUAAUUAAAAAAAUUAGUAUAUAAUCCAACUAACAUAAAUAAGAAAAAGUAAAAUAAAUAAGAUAUUCAUUUGUAGUCACUUAAGAUCGAAGGUAGUAAUCAGCCAUCAAAACUCAUAACAUGUUCAUAAAUAUAGAAUUUGGAAGCAACCAUACUGACAUAUUAAACAAUCUUAACAUGUCGACCUUGAUGCAUGUUUGAAAGUAAGAAAAAUAUGAAUGAUCCAAGUUGAAGCAAUAUUACAAGGAAAUAUAAGCGCAGCAUCGAUAAUAGACACCACCAGCCCUCGAAUCAUCUAAGAACAUGAAUGACUAUUGCGAGAUUUGAUUAACCACGACAAGAAAGUUAUUGAUACACGAAAACGACGAGGAAUACAACCAGAACACACCAUCAAGUAGUGAAGAAACAGGAAGAUGUCCAGCAUGCUCGAAAUCAGAACUCCAUGUACAGUCUAUUACUUCAAGCAAAAUUUGAAGAAGAUUCAGGUAGCUUUCGACAUAUAAUCCCGCCCAUGAAAGACAUCAUACCAUCCUACCAUCCUAGGGACACAUUAUCUGUCCAUUUACUCAUGCUUCAGGUUCAAGGAUUUACAGUAAAAGACAUCAUACCAUCCUAUAAUGCAAGCCACACGUAAAUGAAGUAUAUUAAGGACUAAGAUAACGAAACCCAACAACUGGUCACCAUUUACAAGCUAUUAGAUGUGUGACAGUGGACUUAACACUACAGAAACAUGAAUAAACCUUUAAGAAUGAGAAACAGAUUCAAAGUUCCCACCUACUUUGCCGAAAACCAAUAACUAACACCAAAAGAAGUCAAGAUGGUCACGACAACAUGAACAGAUCGAUAUCAUGAAACGGGAACGGCAAGGAACACACUUUGAAAUUCAGAUCAAAGAAAGAAACAAACUAUGAAGCGAAGAGAUUUCAAGUAUAAAUAUCCUACUAAAGUAUGUAUCACAUCCUAACGAGAAGAACAUACAUCCGCAUGACAUCAAUGACUGACUAUUGAACACUAGUAACAGACCAAAUACGAAAGGAAACAUAUAAAAAACAUAAGAAGAAAUGAGACAAUACACACUUGAUUGCUAUGCUAAGAACACCAUUCAGAAAUAGAAGAAGAAACGAGACAAUAUACACCAGAUUGCUAUACCAAGAACAUCAUUCAGAAAUAGAAGAAGAAAUGAGACAAAUACACCAGAUUGGUAUACCAAGAACAUCAUUCAGAAAUAGAAGAAGAAACGAGACAAAUACACCAGAUUGUUAUACCAAGAACAUCAUUCAGAAAUAGAAGAAGAAAUGAGACAAAUACCUUCUCCGAGCAGCGAAUGGAACAGGAACGAGCAGCGACAGCCACGAACUUCCACACUCAAACAAUACCCCUCGCUUCCUAACGUAUUCUGCUUUCGUAGCUAGACUAUCCUGUUAGCGAGCAGCGACACUCCUGAUUUCUUAUCAGCUUCCUCAGUUUUAUCUCUAGGCCUAUCGCAUUUUGGAGAACCCUUUUUACACAGAUUGAAACUCCUCUCAAACAACUGAAUGAAAGACGAAUGGUAGAAAUUCUUGUGAUAAAAUGUGAACCCCAAAACUUCCGAAACAAAAACAAGCAGAAGGCAAAACAAUUUCCUCUCCCAAAAAUCUCUUUAUCAAAAUUCCAAACAAAUUUUUUCUAACCAAAUUUUCUAACCCCAAAUUCAGUCUAGGAUGGGGGUUUAUAUAGGAAGACAAUUUAGGGUUUCGAAAUUGAGAUGGGUUGCAAGAG